GGCCCCUCGGUUGUCGGGCUCAGGAACUUGGGAAGACCCUUCAGGCUCACCUGCUGGAUGCGCUGAAGAGAUGAAUCGUCAGCUCUCAGCCCUCAUUUGCCGGGCCAAGGGAGGGAGAAGUCACAACGUUAAGAAUCCAGUUGAUGAUUUCUUGGGGCCCUGCGUGGCAGCCGCAAAUUACAAAGUGAAAACGGAAUGCGAGAAACACUUUCCUGUCCCGAACAAAUCCCUCUCCCACUACACCAGUCUUUCUCGAGGGGGUGAUCUCGCCUGCCCGGGGUACACUGGGCAAUGUCUGGAAGCAUUCUGGAUCGUCACACCUGGGGACACGCGGUGCUGGCGUCUAGCGGGGGAGGGCUGGGGACGCUGCUAAACGUUCUCCAGCGCCCAGGACCGCUCCCCACGAUGAGGCACCAUCAGGCCCAAAAGUACGAACGGAACAGGCUGAGCAAACUCGCACUGCACUCUAACAGGUUCCUCGUGUCCCGGGAGGCAGGAGACGAAUCUCGGUUACCUGCCUUCCGUCUUGCCGCAGAGACUGUCCCCGACCCCAGCACGGGCUCCAUCCACACACAAAACAGGGGCUUAUGACUCCCAGUUCAGAGGAAGGGCAGGUCGCCCGUGACCUACUCGCAACACUUCUGGGGUCUCAUGAUCCCUGGUGCUUGAGUCCGCCGGGGACGGCCACGAGACACACACGUGGAGGCGACGUGACAACCCAGAGGAGCCAUUUCUAAACGUGUGACUUUUUUGGCUGCCGGUCACGUUCCUGUGCUUCAUCUUGCUUGGCUCUGGGACCAGAGCGGUGACCACGCAGGGGAAAAGUUGUCUGCACUGGGAGCCGUGGCUGCGCUUCUGGAGUGGCUUACCCCAGGAGCACGGUCAGGAGGUGCUGCGGGACACUGCUCUCCUCUGUCAGGAGCCGCAGAAAAGCCAAGGGAAAAAACCCGUCUCGUGGUUUGUAUCUGUAGGGCUGCUGGCUCGCCGGCUCCACUCAGCUGGCCUUCACGCCGGCCCGGAACAGCGCGGGACACACACAAACCCGAAUCAGGGAGUUCUUUUCCUUGGCAGAGGGACCUUGGCUCGACUGCCACAGAGAACAUUCUGGAGCUUAGAGACGAUUUCAUAGCCAGCUUAUCCAUCCACAUACUUGGAAAGAGACUGUGGUUAAGACAUCACACUUGCUUUUCCUUUGUUGUAGUAACUGUACAUACAAAAACCGGUUUUCCCCCCAACUGAACUUGUGGGCACUGCGUAGAGGCCCACUGCGUAGAGGGAUCGAAUGUUUGCAUUAUGGCUGUGGAUUUUCAUACUGUGAGAUGGAACAGCAAGGUGACACAGCCACUCUGUCCACACCCCAUUCCACGUCUCUCGAUGGCAGAGGAGCCAGCACAAGUUGAAAGUAAGACUUAGCACCCGCACCGUCCUCUGGGUGAUGCGAGGCCGGAACUGGUGGAGAGAGGCCUUCUGUCCCCGAGGAAGGUGUGCGACGCCCAGAAGCAAUGGAGUGGGGUGAGGAUGGGUGCGGAUAAGACACAGCUGUCCCGUCAUUGUGAUUACGAUUACGAUUGUGAGUCCAGGAGGCUCCUCACCGAAGCACUGGUUUCACUCUUUUAAAAAUAAACUCUUUCAGUCUGCCGAUGUCCCUCGCCCGGGCAUGCUGAAACACGCGAGUUACGCGUUUGCCUUGUUAAGUGCCACGCUGAGUAGUCCCUGGGGCCCUCCCUCCUGUGCGCCCCCUGCCCCCCGCCGUCAGAGCAGGGCUCUGCCUCACGAGACGUCACCGCGGCCGGGACCAAGUGCACAGCAGCAAAUAUUGUGGUUUCGCCUAAUGCCCCAACUGUGCAAACAGAUGACCAAAAGCGUAGUUCACAAGACAGAGAGGAGGUCAGAAUCUGUCGGCGCAGACACUCCACACGGCGACUGAUACAAUGCAAUGCACUUUCGUAGGGGGCUUAUUUACGGGAACAUAUCAUGGGUCUUGGCAAUUCGUAGCACGACGUUCCAUGGAAAAUUCCCUUCUCUGCUCAGACUAAACGCAAGACAUACAGCAUUCACUUUUGAUUAACGAAGGCCGUAAACACACCCCAACAGGUAUAAUACGGUAGUUUACAGCCGUGGCCUAAAUUGGCAGAUAUGCUUUCUUCUUCAUAAAACGAGAAAAGUGGGAUAGGUUGGAAAUCUCCGUGACUCUCGGCAGGACGGCUAGCUGGCCGCGGCCACCGCAGGGACUGUCUCAUUACCCACUUACCAGGAUUUGGUCUCCUCCGGCAUCAUUUAUUCAUUACCUAUACUGCGGCUUUGUAGGCUAGUCUAUAAAUACCUUUCUAAUUUGAAUUAAGAUAAUGUGCUAUCUGUGCUUGUUAGAUGUGGCAAAACGCAGCUUGUACUCACUUUAAAUCUUACCAAGUCAGAGAGCAGUUUUGCAUUCCAGAUAGAGCUAAAAAUAUUCACCCAUUAAAAUAGUAAUCAUCAUUGAAAUUAGCUCACUGAUUUUGCUGAUUAAUUUCUCGGUGACAAGUACGCUUUCUAAAAAGUUUCCAUUAAACAUUUUUUUUUUUGAACAAAACUCGACUUUUAAAAUCUAAACUAUCUAGGAAGAAAGGGAUAAUUAAGGAAAUAAAAAUAGAAAAUUUAAAUCCACUGUAAUUUGCACAGACUUGGUGAAGCUUCGCUGUCAAAAACCAGAGGAAGGCAAAGCAUGGAAACAGUUGUGGUGACUGGAAUGUGGGACCGAGGCCCCCUUCUUCACUUUGGGGGUGACGCACAUGCCUGGGAACGUGCUUUGUUUUUGUCUGCACAGGAGCGCACUAGCGGGCAUAGUAAGAGUGCAAGUGCUCAGCGCCACUCUCGUGACAUUAGACGUUUAUGUGCACGCGCUCGAUUUUCAUUUGCAACAGGCAUGCGUCCAGUCCAGCAGAAGGCUGUAAAUCCGUGACAGCAUAAAGGGGCACUUGAAAGUCAUGGAUGAAACAAAGGCUGGUCAUUGUUUGUUUUUUUGUCUUUAUUAUCUUCAUUUUAGUCACUAUGUUUAGUUGAUAUUCCCAUAUUAUAUGGGGUUAAAGACAUAAACAGGCUAAAAUAUUAUUUUAAUCAACCCUAUAGAAAAUGGUGUUUCCAUUCAAUCCUUUAGGCAAAUCAACCCCUUACUGUCAUCUUCAGAAAAUAGGCUAAUAUAGAUGCCUCUGGUUUUAAGUAUAUUAACUAUGUCGAAACUAAAAAAUGGGGCACGGGUGGUAAGACAGAAGGCUGCUGAGAAAGGUUUAGAAUACAGGGAUCAGGAGAAAGUUAUAACGUGCACUUGGGUUAAAAAUAACGUAUCAUUCGGUACCAAUUAAGGCGAUAAAGUAUUCCUUAGCUAUGAACGUUUAACGUUUCAUAUUAUUUAUAACAGACACACAUCACAAAAUAAUAGUGAAAUCCAGUACGUCACGGAUGACUAUUGUAUAGUAACGGCCACAGAAAUAUCUUCUGACAUUUCUCAAAUAAUGCAUCCCAGCAGCUCCGGAGGAAGACAGAGAUUCACGCCAAAGCGAUCUGGUGUCCAGCGGAACUGAGAAAGGGGAGCAGUGGUCCUGGCUCCUGCGAUCAGUGCACACUCACCAGGGAAUGAACGAGUAGGCCAGGAAACAUGUCCUCCGGCCGUCGGUUAGACGUGCCCAACUGCCUUUCCAUGUGCCCAGAUAUAAGCCAUCGUGGAAAAAUCAGCAAGAAUUUGCUGCCAAGCUCAGAGAUUUUCUCCCCAAGCAGAACUGGUGAGCUUGGGUAACUCCUAUCAUUGUAUAACAGGGAAACUCUACACACGCGUGUUGUGGAUGGAUGCUGAUCACACGGCUUUAUAGUAAACUUUCUCCCAGGGGCGGGAAGCGAGGAGGAAAACCACUCGGAGAUCAGGCUAAGGCCGGCCCAAGAUUUAGACCUGAGAUGAUCAGACUUCUGAGUGCACCUGCGACCGACCAUGUCAGAACUAUCACAUCCUCCUCAACCCAUGUAUGCACCGCCCUCUCGGAGUCGCCCGCAGCAAGCUGGGACUGCCACGGGACUGAGGGCUCACGGACGUUGUGUGAACGCAUAGAAAGUUUUAGAAAAUUCAGUUCUUUUAAUGCUUCUUUUUCAGGUGAUAAAAUAUCUAAAAAUCGCAAACACACUUUGGACUCUCUGUUAGCGAUUACUAAUGAUCCCUGGUUAUAAUGAGCGUGUGAAUUUCUUUGAAAUGAAAUUCUCUGUUGCUUUUCUUUUUAACGAAUCAAUUUGUGAUGGUUCUGGGAUUAUUUCAGACACGGAGGUAUGAUGUAUUUCUUCUCCCAUGGGCGUCAGAGAAUUUUAUGGUGCCCCCCCCAGCCCCAGCUCUGGAAAAGGCACCUACUGUUUCCCUGUUUCAGCUAUAUUUUGUAAAACUGUUAGCAAUGUCUAAGAUACGAGUGGGUGGAAAGGGGUGAGGAUUAUAUAAUGUUGCUAUUUUCUUUAACUUUCUUUCAUUGUAUGUUUGCUGAAUGAGUGUGAGUUUAGCACCAAUAAUUUGCACCCAGGACUGCAGAUUGGGACCUGCUUGGCCCCAGUGACCGUCACAGCGAGAGGACUCCAACAUUUGGGAAACGACAAAUGUCUCACAUGCUUGGCUGCCCUAACAGAAUACCAUAGUCUGCGACUUAAACAACAAAUAUUUAUUUCUCACGGCUCUGGAGGCUGGAAGUCUAAGAUCAGAGAGCUGGUGGGUUUGGCUUCUUCUGAAGCCUAUUUGGCUUGCCAAUGACCACCUUCUCCUCAAGUGGGUCCUCAAGUGGUGGGAUGGGCAAGGCGGCUCUCUGGGUCUCUGUCACAAGAGCACUGCUCCCAUCACAGGGGCUCCAUCCUCAUGACGUAAUCACAUCCCAAAGGACCCAUCUCCUAACUUCACACUGGGGGCAGGUAGAUCCCCAUGGAGGAAUUUGGGUGGAGGGGAGACACAAACAUUCAGUCCACAGCCAUGAGAAUUAGAGAGGCCAAGAACACGCAAAAGACAGAAAGUUCUGUGUGGGAAACUAUCACUCAGCAAGAACUCAUACAAAUCCUGGGAACAAUGACCUGUCAAUGUGGGUGGCAAUGAUAAUUCUAGGUGGCAAUGAUAAUUCUAAGAAGCAAUGUGAACUUUAGUUUCCAGUUUUGCUGAAGUCAGGGGUUUUAUUCAAUUAAAAAAAAAAAAGUUCAUCUAUUGCAUUUUGUGCCCACAGAUGAAAGAGGAAAUCAGCCUUUCUUUCAGGCACUCAGAGGGCACACAUGCCCAGAACUGCACAAACUUCACCAGUGGUGACAAUAAUGGGGCCACUUUACAUUUUACACAGGGUUGGGGUUUUCAGUAUUCAUGAUAAAGUAUGAGAAAGAUAUAGGAAAUAAUAUAACAAAGUCCCAGAUUUCUCAAGUCUUUACAGUUUGAUAUGCAUGUUUCAGACAUUUUUAAGAAAUUAUAAUUUACUGGUGAGUUUGAAGUCCCUUGUCAAGCCUUUUCCUCCCCCUUAGAGAUAACCAGCAUCCUGAAUUUGUCAUCCCCUUCCUGUUUUAUGCUCUGGUUAUGCACUGUUCUCAUAAAUACUAUAUUGAGUU